rnacentral:rRNA from 1 species
AAUCUUAGACAAUGGGCGCAAGCCUGAUCUAGCCAUGCCGCGUGAGUGAUGAAGGCAACAGGGUUGUACAGGUGUUUAGCCAGAGAGGAUAAUCACACUGAAGAAUAAAGAAACCCCGGCUAACUCCCAGCCAGCAGUAAGCGGUAAUACGGAGGGGGUUUCCGGAUUUGGAAUUACAAAGAGUAAAGCGUACGUAGGCGGCGUGAAAGUAUGGGCCCAAUGCCAGGCUUCAACCCUGCAGUGGGUACGGAAUAACUAGAGUGCAGUAGGGGAGACUGGAAUUCCUGGUGUAGCGGUGGAAUGCGCAGAUAUCAGGAGGAACACCGAUGGCGAAGGCAGGUCUCUGGGCUGUAACUGACGCUGAGAAGCGAAAGCAUGGGGAGCGAACAGGAUUAGAUACCCUGGUAGUCCAUGCCGUA